rnacentral:rRNA from 1 species
UACGGGGGGAGCAAGCGUUGUUCGGAUUUACUGGGCGUAAAGGGCGCGUAGGCGGUCAGCACAAGUCAAUUGUGAAAUCUCCGAGCUUAACUCGGAAAGGUCAACUGAAACUGUGCGACUAGAGUGCGGAAGGGGCAACUGGAAUUCUUGGUGUAGCGGUGAAAUGCGUAGAUAUCAAGAGGAACACCGGUGGCGAAGGCGGCAUCCUGGACCGGUAUUGACGCUGAGGCGCGAAAGCUAGGGGAGCAAACGGG